AUAGCUCCAACGUCUCAGUCUGAGAGGUCGAAUUCCUAGGAACCGUCACUCGUGUGGUCAACGAGAAUCAGCCCCCUCCAACCUGGGGCCAAGUAAAAAAUGUCGCUGACCGUGCUCGGGGUAUGGUACGACAAGGAGCACUUCCUCCAUCAGCAGACAGCCUUUUCGUUGCUGUGCUUGCUAUCAUCGCUGCUCAGAUUCACCACCCUGUAAAGAUUCAAAAAUAUUAGAAACCACGUGGGAUCAUGUAAGCAGGACCUCUGGGUUCCUCCCUGGUUCUUCUGUGGAUUUCCAAAAAAGGCUACAGACAAAAUAUACCACGGAAAGAGAAUACACAGGAGACCUUAAGCAAAACAUAAACACCAGAAAACAUAUAAUGCAGAUGGAAGACUGGUAAACAGUGGACUGAAGUGCUGGUUAUUUCCUGUGUUUCCAGUUAGUAUUUAUCAAGAGAGUCCCAUGCAGAGUCUGACAGCUUUGGGUAAGUC